rnacentral:lncRNA from 1 species
GAGUCGCGUCCCGGAGACUGGCGGCGCUGACUCUGCCCGCUGCGGCCGCCGCGCCGAUUAGAGCCCGAGAGGGAGCGCCAGCCCGGGGGAGGGGGCGGCGGCGGGGGAACUCCGGAUGCCCCUUCGCCUCCGCCCAGCCAGCGCCCCCCGCUGCCCGGCCCAGUCCUUUCUCAGCCGCCCGAACCCAGGACCGGAGUCCUGCCUCUUCCGCCGUAGCUUUCUCGAGGCUGCAUCCAAGCUUCUUCCUCCGGAUCUUGCAGUGCCCGAGGUCCCGACGGUGCCAACAUCCCGUUGGCCCCCAGCCUGCCAGUCUCUCAUGCCCUUUCUCUUCCCCAUCACCCCACACAGAGAGGAGUAGGGAUCUCAGAGCUCCCCCAUUCUCUUAUCCUCCGCUCCCCAAUGCACUCUCUAAGCAAAAGCCGUUCCAAGCGAAGAAGAGAAUCAGAGACUCAGAGGACGGGCUUUCCAGGGCCGGAGCACCCCCUGCUGGCUGGCCCGAAGCCCCUCCCCCUCCCCCUCCAGCUGUGACCUCCAGCUGUGGUGGCUGGGAAGAGCUGGCCCCUUUGAUCUAGGAGCGUGGCAACCCCCUCCAGGCGCCCCAUUAACCUCCAUUAUCCCAAUUAGGCAGCCCUCCCAGUCCUGGAUCCAAGCUUCAAAGCCCCCUCAGUUGGGAGAAAAGGGAGCUGAAUCGUAUGCCCCCUACCUCCCCACCAAGCCACACCACUUUCAGACAAG